rnacentral:misc_RNA from 1 species
ACACGAUCAACUCUAGUUAAGAGUUGGAACUGGCCUCAUGUGCUGCUUUGCAUAUUUGGUUUGAAUAUAUUGAGUUGAUGAGCCUCCCAAUGUUGCUCAAUGUGUGCUAGCGAGACAGUCGUCCCGAUCUCACAUUAAAGCUUUGUUGCAGGGCUCUGUACACAACUUUUGUUUUCAUUAUCAA